AGAAAUACAUUGUGCUUCAAGUGCAAAGACUUUUCUAACAAUUAACAGUUGUUUUCUGAGCUAGUUCUGAUUGGUCAGGUUUUAUUGUCUGUUUCUUGCUUUUGUUCUAUGGAUAGUUCAGUGGUAUCUUUUUUUUCAGGAUAUGGUGUGCGUUAUUCAAAGGGAUCUUUUUAUGUAAUUUUGAAAUGAUAUACAUUUGAUAUUUGAUAGUAAUUGACCGAUUCAAUCCACAAAAAAACAUUCUUAUAAAGAA
rnacentral:lncRNA from 1 species